AGUCCUUCCCGGAGGUAUUCUCUCAACGAAUAAGUAAUUGUUAGAGUGCAAUGUUGAUAUAAUUCGAAGAAACAAAAAGCAAGUCUAAGUCAAAAAAAAUUACGUACGUACUUUUAUUUCUUCUAAAAUUAAAUUAAACAAAUGGAUUCGCAAAUAAAAGUGCUAAUGCCACAACCAGUCCAUAAAUUGUUAAAGCUUCCAUAAAAGCCAGACUUAGCAAUAAAGUACCUCGUAUUUUACCCUCUGCUUCUGGCUGUCUCGCAAUACCUUCUACAGCUUGACCCGCAGCAGUACCUUGACCAACCCCAGGUCCAAUAGAAGCAAGCCCUACAGCCAAUCCAGCAGCAAUAACAGAAGCGGCAGAAAUCAGUGGAUUCAUGAUAAGCUAAGCUCCUCGCAAAAGAAAUGGUUAAUGAUACAAUCAAGGAAUUAAUCAUCAGAAAUACAUGGAAAUCUCGCUUUUUGUUCUUAUCCGUGAUAGAGUUUUAGAUAAAUCUAUAUGCACAUACCAUUAUAGUUAUUACAUUUCUUUAUUCUAAACCCAUUUAUCAUUCAAUUCGUCAUUCUUUACUCUUCCACUUCCUCUUGAGUUCAGAGUUCAUCUGUUUAGUUGUUCAAUCCACAAUCACAGACAAAGCCCAAGGACUUUCUAUUGGAAUCUCCUCUAAGUGCAGUGAGCUACGAAAUAAAUAUAAGAUAUAAGAACCUCACUAUAACUAGUGAAUUUAUAAUAUCACAUAUACAUUUGUUUCUUCUAUAACGUAAACCGCUUAUUGAAAAUGAUUCUAGAAUCAUUUUUUUGAACCAUAGACGAGGGCUAGACAGACUUAUCACUAUUAUACUGAGUUUCAUUUUUAUAAGAUAAGCUAUCUUUUUUUUUAGUUUUACGUCGGAAAAGAUAACAAUUAUUAUUCAAAUUCAAAAUUUAUAAAAAAUUAUAAUAUAAUAUUAAUUUAACAAAAACAAAUAAAAUAUAAAUACAAUAUAAAUUUGUAAAUAGAAGAAGUCUAUAAUCUAGAAAUAAAUUAAAACAAAUCUUAGGAAGAGAUCAUUUAGAUCUUUUCCUAAGAUUUGUUUUAAUUUAAAUAAUAUGAUACAUCUUUGUUUCCUGCUACGAUUCUAUACCCUAUAUAAUUUUUUUUAUCUAUUAUAGUUCCUAGCCAAAUCGAUUAUAUAAAAAGGAACUCUCUAUGAACUGGGAUAAGGUUGAAAAAAAAUUUCAAAAGCUAGUCAAUG
rnacentral:lncRNA from 1 species